rnacentral:rRNA from 1 species
ACGAACCGAGCGAACGUUGUUCGGAAUCACUGGGCUUAAAGGGCGCGUAGGCGGGCAUCCAAGUCUGUGGUGAAAUCCGGCAGCUUAACUGUCGAAUUGCCGUGGAUACUGGGUGUCUCGAGGGAGGCAGGGGUGCGCGGAACUAAUGGUGGAGCGGUGAAAUGCGUUGAUAUCAUUAGGAACUCCGGUGGCGAAGGCGGCGCACUGGUCCUCUUCUGACGCUGAGGCGCGAAAGCCAGGGGAGCAAACGGGAUUAGAUACCCCGGUAGUCCUGGCCCUAAACGUUGGGUACUAGAUAGUAGGGUUCACAUGGCUUUACUGUCGAAGCAAAAGUGCUAAGUACCCCGCCUGGGGAGUAUGGUCGCAAGGCUG